UUCACGGAGAGUUUGAUCCUGGCUCAGGACGAACGCUGGCGGCGUGCUUAACACAUGCAAGUCGAACGAUGAACCACUUCGGUGGGGAUUAG
rnacentral:rRNA from 1 species